UGUUUCGGCAAGGGGGUCAUCCCGACUUACCAACCCGAUGCAAACUGCGAAUACCGGAGAAUGUUAUCACGGGAGACACACGGCGGGUGCUAACGUCCGUCGUGAAGAGGGAAACAACCCAGACCGCCAGCUAAGGUCCCAAAGUCAUGGUUAAGUGGGAAACGAUGUGGGAAGGCCCAGACAGCCAGGAUGUUGGCUUAGAAGCAGCCAUCAUUUAAAGAAAGCGUAAUAGCUCACUGGUCGAGUCGGCCUGCGCGGAAGAUGUAACGGGGCUAAACCAUGCACCGAAGCUGCGGCAGCGACGCUUAUGCGUUGUUGGGUAGGGGAGCGUUCUGUAAGCCUGUGAAGGUGUGCUGUGAGGCAUGCUGGAGGUAUCAGAAGUGCGAAUGCUGACAUAAGUAACGAUAAAGCGGGUGAAAAGCCCGCUCGCCGGAAGACCAAGGGUUCCUGUCCAACGUUAAUCGGGGCAGGGUGAGUCGACCCCUAAGGCGAGGCCGAAAGGCGUAGUCGAUGGGAAACAGGUUAAUAUUCCUGUACUUG
rnacentral:rRNA from 1 species